GAUGAAGAACGUAGCGAAAUGCGAUACGUAAUGUGAAUUGCAAAUUCAGUGAAUCAUCGAGUCUUUGAACGCACACUGCGCCCCCUGGUAUUCCGGGGGGCAUGCCUGUCCGAGCGUCAUUGCUGCCCUCAAGCACGGCUUGUGUGUUGGGCCCCGUCCUCCGAUCCCGGGGGACGGGCCCGAAAGGCAGCGGCGGCACCGCGUCCGGUCCUCGAGCGUAUGGGGCUUUGUCACCCGCUCUGUAGGCCCGGCCGGCGCUUGCCGAUCAACCCAAAUUUUUAUCCAGGUUGACCUCGGAUCAGGUAGGGAUACCCGCUGAACUUAAGCAUAUCAAUAAGCGGAGGA
rnacentral:misc_RNA from 1 species